GAGGGUAUAGCUCAAGUGGCAGAGCACAUGCCUAGCAUGCACAAGGUGCUGGGUUCAAUCCCCACUACCUCCU
rnacentral:tRNA from 1 species